rnacentral:lncRNA from 1 species
ACAGUUUCAUUUUUUUCCUUUGAACAGCUUGUGAACAUUUAACUUGACUUAUUAAAGGUGACUAUUUCAGCCUCCGACAUUAGGGAAGAAGUACAUUAAAACAUUUUUCUCUACUGAAAAGUAUAGUUGCUGUCAGUGCUAUUGGUGGCAUCAGUAUGAAUCCAUGAAAGAAAACCUGUGCCAGGGUUUUAAAAUAUUUUAAAAAGUAAUGAAUGAAAUUUAAUUUGGACAAAAGAAAUCUAUAUAAAUUUAAAACACUUAUUAUGCUAACAUGGUACAGUUUUAAAUAUGAGUAAUAAAAGGAAGUCCUCUUAGACCACCUAUUUAAAUUGACGCCAAUAAUCUUAAGGAUUGAUAGUAGUUGUCAUUUAUUGACUUAAAAGUUAUAGUUUAGGGACUAUUAUCAGUGUUAAAUCCUUGAUUUUUGUGGAGCUUUAAUGGAUGGAGGUGAAAAAGUUGAUUAUAAGAGUGAUGAGGAAUGGUAGUGAAAUGAACAUCAACCUAUUUUAGAAAAGGAACUUUAGUCUUGCCUCAAGCAAACCAGGUGUAUUCAUUGCUAAAAUCUUUUCUAAUAUUUAUGUUAAAACCAUAAUUUUAGAUAGUAUUAAAUAAUUACUUCCUUAGCAAAUAAUAGGUGG